rnacentral:rRNA from 1 species
AUUGAACGCUGGCGGCAGGCCUAACACAUGCAAGUCGAGCGGAUGAAGGGAGCUUGCUCCUGGAUUCAGCGGCGGACGGGUGAGUAAUGCCUAGGAAUCUGCCUGGUAGUGGGGGAUAACGUCCGGAAACGGGCGCUAAUACCGCAUACGUCCUGAGGGAGAAAGGGGGGGAUCUUCGGCCCUCACGCUAUCAGAUGAGCCUAGGUCGGAUUAGCUAGUUGGUGGGGUAAAGGCCUACCAAGGCGACGAUCCGUAACUGGUCUGAGAGGAUGAUCAGUCACACUGGAACUGAGACACGGUCCAGACUCCUACGGGAGGCAGCAGUGGGGAAUAUUGGACAAUGGGCGAAAGCCUGAUCCAGCCAUGCCGCGUGUGUGAAGAAGGUCUUCGGAUUGUAAAGCACUUUAAGUUGGGAGGAAGGGCAGUAAGUUAAUACCUUGCUGUUUUGACGUUACCAACAGAAUAAGCACCGGCUAACUUCGUG